UAGUAAUUUUGGAAGAGUUACGUUGUCAAGAAACAGAUCAAUUUCAUUUUUAGAUGGGUUUAUUUGUGGUGAGUAUAAAGUUUCAUAGAAAUCCCUAAAAAUGUUGUUUAUUCUUCCAGGAUCAUAUAUUGUGUUCCCCGAUAAAUCUUUAGCAGCACAUAUAGUUAUUUUUUCUUUAUUUAUUUUUAGCUGGUUAGCUAGAAAUCGACCUGAUUUGUUACUGUGUUCAAAAUUCUGCAAGCGAAGUCUUUGUAUGAGGAAUUGUGUUUUUUUAUUAAUAGUUUCAUUUAAUUCUAGUUUUGUUUUGCAUAUUUUGUUCAAUGUUUCCUGAUCUUGGUGGGACGCGUAUUAUUAUUAUUAUUAUCGUUAUUAUUUGGUGAUGUGUGUGUUUUUCUGCAAAAUGCUGUGUUAUUCUGUGUUUCACUCAUUAUAUGUAUAGGCAGGGUGUGGGUGUGUACAUGUGUGUGUGUCUGGAGGAUGGAGGACAGCCACCUGCAGGCCUCGUCAGGGGAGCUACUUAGGAGAGUGUUGGAGCUCUCACCGACGCGGGAUCAUUGCGUUGUCAUCCCAAGUGGAAGAGUGGACCAGAAAGGCAGCACGCACGGGUGUGCGGAAGCACGACAGCGGGGAGCACGAGCACAGACGUCGGAGGGGAGCACACACACAGGAGUCAAGGGAGCAACGGGGAUUUAUUGUGUUUACAGCUUUCACUGUAAAUAAAGUGCAC
ensembl:lncRNA